rnacentral:rRNA from 1 species
UACGUAGGGAGCAAGCGUUGUCCGGAAUCAUUGGGCGUAAAGCGCGCGUAGGCGGCCCGGUAAGUCCGCUGUAAAAGUCCAGGGCUCAACCCUGGAACGCCGGUGGAUACUGUCGGGCUAGAGUCCGGAAGAGGCGAGUGGAAUUCCUGGUGUAGCGGUGGAAUGCGCAGAUAUCAGGAGGAACACCGAUGGCGAAGGCAGCUCGCUGGGACGGUACUGACGCUGAGGCGCGAAAGUGUGGGGAGCGAACAGG